GAUCAGGGGGCUCAGGACGAACGCUGGCGGCGCGCCUAACACAUGCAAGUCGAACGAGCGAGAGAGAGCUUGCUUUCUCAAGCGAGUGGCGAACGGGUGAGUAACGCGUGAGGAACCUGCCUCAAAGAGGGGGACAACAGUUGGAAACGACUGCUAAUACCGCAUAAGCCCACGGCUCGGCAUCGAGCAGAGGGAAAAGGAGCAAUCCGCUUUGAGAUGGCCUCGCGUCCGAUUAG
rnacentral:rRNA from 1 species